rnacentral:rRNA from 1 species
AUUGAACGCUGGCGGCAGGCCUAACACAUGCAAGUCGAGCGGAAGAAGGGAGCUUGCUUCGGGAUUCAGAGGCGGAAGGGGGAGUAAUGCCCAGGAAUCUGCCUGGUAGUAGGGGGUAACGUCCGGAAACGGGCGCUAAUAACGCAGACGUGCUGAGGGAGAAAGUGGGGGGGGUUGGGAGCUCACGCGAUCAGGGGAGACUAGGUCGGAUUAGCGAGUGGGUGGGGGAAAGGCCUACAAAGGCGACGAUCCGUAACUGGUCUGAGAGGAUGAGCAGUCACACUGGAACUUAGACCCGGUCCAGACUCCUACGGGGGGCAGCAGUGGGGAAUAUUGGACAGUUGGCGAAUGCCUGAUCCAGCCAUGCCGCGUGUGUGAAGAAGGUCUUCGGAUUGUAAAGCACUUUAGGUUGGUAGGAAGGUCAGUAAGUUAAUACCUUGCUUUUUUGACGUUACCAGCAGAAUAAGCACCGGCUAACUUCGUG